UACGUAGGGGGCUAGCGUUAUCCGGAAUUACGGGCGUAAAGGGUGCGUAGGCGGUCUUUCAAGCCAGAAGUGAAAGGCUACGGCUCAACCGUAGUAAGCUUUUGGAACUGUAAGACUUGAGUGCAGGAGAGGAGAGUGGAAUUCCUAGUGUAGCGGUGAAAUGCGUAGAUAUUAGGAGGAACACCAGUUGCGAAGGCGGCUCUCUGGACUGUAACUGACGCUGAGGCACGAAAGCGUGGGGAGCAAACAGGAUUAGAUACCCGCGUAGUCCCU
rnacentral:rRNA from 1 species